rnacentral:lncRNA from 1 species
CUUAGACUUGUUGACAGCCAGCCUACUUUGGGAGGGAAAAUCAGAAUUUUAUGGCUUAUGGAUAUGGGUCUAUCAUCUAUCUCCUACAUUCUGCUGGCACUGCUACAAAGAGGACUUCUGACUUACGCUUCCAAGUACAUCAUCUGGCUUCAGUAAGUGGAAUCACUUCAUUGCCUUGCUCAUGAUCCAGCUCGCCAUAUCAAAUUCCAAAAUCAAAUCCUUGGGAGCUUUUUUGUUAUAUAGGAUAUCAUGGAUAUUAUUACCUCUUCUCCUA